UACGUAGGUGGCAAGCGUUGUUCGGAAUUACUGGGCGUAAAGCGCACGUAGGCGGCUUUGUAAGUUAGAGGUGAAAGCCCAGGGCUUAACCCUGGAAUUGCCUUUAAGACUGCAUCGCUAGAAUCGUGGAGAGGUGAGUGGAAUUCCGAGUGUAGAGGUGAAAUUCGUAGAUAUUCGGAAGAACACCAGUGGCGAAGGCGACUCACUGGACACGUAUUGACGCUGAGGUGCGAAAGCGUGGGGAGCAAACAGG
rnacentral:rRNA from 1 species